rnacentral:rRNA from 1 species
GCAUAUCAAUAAGCGGAGGAAAAGAAACCAACAGGGAUUGCCCCAGUAACGGCGAGUGAAGCGGCAACAGCUCAAAUUUGAAAUCUGGCCCCCCCCGGGGGGCCCGAGUUGUAAUUUGCAGAGGAUGCUUUGGGCGAGGCGCCUUCCGAGUUCCCUGGAACGGGACGCCACAGAGGGUGAGAGCCCCGUCUGGUCGGACGCCGAGCCUCUGUAAAGCUCCUUCGACGAGUCGAGUAGUUUGGGAAUGCUGCUCAAAAUGGGAGGUAUAUGUYUUYUAAAGCUAAAUACCGGCCAGAGACCGAUAGCGCACAAGUAGAGUGAUCGAAAGAUGAAAAGCACCUUGAAAAGGGGGUUAAACAGUACGUGAAAUUGUUGAAAGGGAAGCGCUCGUGACCAGACUUGGGGCGGGCGGAUCAGCCGGCGUUCUCGCCGGCGCACUCCGCCCGUCCCAGGCCAGCAUCAGUUCGCGCCGGGGGACAAAGGCGGCGGGAACGUGGCUCCCCAGGGAGUGUUAUAGCCCGCCGCGCCAUGCCCCGGGGGCGGACUGAGGGCCGCGCAUCACUGCAAGGAUGCUGGCGUAAUGGUCACCAGCGACCCGUCUUGAAACACGGACC